rnacentral:lncRNA from 1 species
GAAAAAGUACAAUGGAAAGCAUUAAGUUAUAUAACGCUGAGGAAUCUUGUUAAUUCUACUUAUAGUAUUUCAAAUCUAGUCAAGUCACUGAAAAUGUUCAAGUAUAAUCGGAAAUGUGUCUUUCCGAUAGCCGUUCCUGGUGAGACAUCCUCUUUAUAUAAAACCUGGGCAUUCAGAAUCAGGACAGUGUUAACACAGAAGAAAAGAAAACCCAGCAGUUCCUGGAGAAAGACUAGGACACAUGGCUUUUGUGAAAACAAGACACUAGACGAUGUUCCCAGGCAAGUGCCAGAGCAUCGCACCUGACAUUUCCAUGUCAGUAUCAGUGACUCAGACCAGUUAUACAACAUGGAUCUUUCCAGAUCUUAAGAUUUCUUCUAAGAUUGUGGUAUACCAUACUAACACAGGAUGAGAAGAGCCAGGAAAUGUUGAUUAACAACAAAACCCUCCCCAUAUGUAACACAAAAUCCAUUAAAGAAAUGCAAACUCAGUCAGUUAUUUGGGGGAGGGAUAACAAAAGAAAUCACAAUGUCAAAAAGAAAUCCAUCUUCUUGGAGCAAGACAACACAUGUUACUGCCCUGGGAUUAAAAAAUUUAAAAAUAAAAGUUACGUUGUUAGCAGAUUUAAAGUUAUUUCAAAUGGUCUCUGGAGAUGAUUUUGGAGCAAAGUAUUGGGGAUUUUAGCAAAUCACUGCUAGUAUUACUGAGGAGGUUAGAUGUUAAUUGUGUGUAUCAAUAUAAGGCUAGUAUAUUUUUAAAGAGGAGAGUGAAAUGACUAGGUUAGCAUUAAAUGCAAAAUAAAUAGUAAAUAUACCGAGCUGAAAUUCUUCUGAUUUUCUUUUACACGCAGUAUUUCUGGCGUGUCUUGAACAACUGUAAUUUUUCCUUUACUGUUUUUAAGGUCACACUGGUAUUGGAGCU